rnacentral:lncRNA from 1 species
GCACUAACUUCAGCAAGAUGGGAGGUAUUUGCAGUGUCUUGCCUUUGUUUUUUCUGGCCAGCUUUCUCCAAGUGGGAUCCGGGGCCAGGGAGAGAGCAAAGGGGCUGUGAAGAUUCAGAGCUCUUCACCACACCCUGCACUACAUCGCAUCCAUGUUCCUGAGGCACCAAACUGCACUUCUGGUCUCAAGCAAUCGGGACAGUCCAGGUUUUGCCUCGUUGCAGUCUAUUCUGAGGGAAGGCGAUCUCUUAAUCAAAUUAAAUAUGCACAUUGCCCAUUUGUUUUUCGAAAAACGGAUCUUCUGUACUAUAUCCCUGCUGUUAGAGAUAUAAAAACUCUUUGUUUAAAGUAACUCCGCAUCAUUGCUCUUUACAUCUCCUAAAUUAAAGAAAGCCAUAGUGUGGGGACCAAGUUUGGAGAAGAUAUACACCUAGUCUUGGUCAUAUUUAUUUGCUAUAGCACCGGACACGGGAAGGUCAAGGUCUGCAAGUGUAUUCAUGCCUUGGAUAUGCUUGGUUAUACCACCGAGCCCUUGCACUUGUCCUCUGAAUCUCCAGCGAUGUCCAUUUUGUCCACUGGCUCCUGUCAACAGCUUCUGUUGCCACCACCCCAGAGCAGAAGCAGAGAGAAACGAAGAUCCAUUUAAUGGCUGCCAACUUCGUUAUCUGAUUGAUGGCCUUGCUGGCCUGGCUGAGCGCUGCUCUGAAGGUUAGGUUUCCUGAAAGCAGAAGCAACCCCUUCCCAUGACCACUCUGACACGAGCAGAACAAGCAAUUUAUCUGCCUGGCUGCUGAAUGUAUUAAUAUUUGAAGUUAAUUUGUCUGCCUGAAUAAUCUGGUGCCAAAUCAUGUAGCCAUUUAUCAGUUGUAAUGGGAAGAUGCUGCUCUUGUCUGGACGCCUUUAGAGGUAACCAGCAUAACCUCAGCACAUUGACACAGCUGAUUGUGGAAAAUUACAUCGCAAUAUUGUUCUGACUGCUUGGUUACAAAAAGUAUUCAGUAGCUUUAUGUGCAAGGUUGGACUAAAUUAUGUCUGGGUAGCUGAGAUGAAGUGUAACAAAUAAAUAUACAGUUGUCGCAGCA